rnacentral:lncRNA from 1 species
AUGGUGCUUUCCCUCAUUUUUGUAGCUCAAGACGUACAUUCAACUCAAGAGUCCAGCUCUACAGCAGCUAUAUUUGGAAAUACACAUAUUUUAUGAAUUCUACCAAAUAUCUGGCUGGGUAGCUGCCCUCGUCAGGUGGAACAUGUAACCAUCAAACUGAAGCAUGAAUUGGGGAUUACAGCUGUAAUGAAUUUCCAGACUGAAUGGGAUAUUGUACAGAAUUCCUCAGGCUGUAACCGCUACCCAGAGCCCAUGACUCCAGACACUAUGAUUAAACUAUAUAGGGAAGAAGGCUUGGCCUACAUCUGGAUGCCAACACCAGAUAUGAGCACCGAAGGUAAGGAUCAGAACUGUUCUGCCUCCUUGCUGUAUUUCAGAGAAACCCUUGCUGUCUGUCUGUCUAUCUAUAAUUUAAUAUCUUAAAAAUGAAUGGUAGAAAUGGAAUAAAUAUAAGAUUUUAGAUUUAAUAUAUAUAAUACAUAUGUUUUGACACUGUG